GGGAAACUUGCUUUGUAUUGCGAAAAAAAUUGUAAACCGAGGCAUUAUUUUCAAUGGAUUUUCAUUUGUAAACCGAAAAAUUUGUCAUCCGAGGUCCCACUGUAGUUUGAAAACACUAAACAGCCAGUCAUAAAAUCACUCUCCACCCCCCAAUUUAAGAGAAAUGUGAGCAUCACAUGCAAGAAUAAUUUACCCCUGAGAAGUGUCAG